UACGAAGGGUCCAAGCGUUAUCCGGAUUUAUUGGGUUUAAAGGGUGCGUAUGCGGCUUAUUAAGUCAGACGUGAAAUCCCUCGGCUUAACCGGGGAACUGCAUCUGAUACUGGAUGGCUUGAGUUCGGGAGAGGGAUGCGGAAUUCCAGGUGUAGCGGUGAAAUGCGUAGAUAUCUGGAGGAACACCGGUGGCGAAGGCGGCAUCCUGGACCGGCACUGACGCUGAGGAGCGAAAGCCAGGGGAGCAAACGGG
rnacentral:rRNA from 1 species